UAUGAUCAGAUUUUGUCUGCAAAAUGAAUAGGGGGAGAUCUUAGUAGUUUCCGUUAGUGG
rnacentral:tRNA from 1 species